rnacentral:rRNA from 1 species
AACGAACGCUGGCGGCAUGCCUAACACAUGCAAGUCGAACGAGACCUUCGGGUCUAGUGGCGCACGGGUGCGUAACGCGUGGGAAUCUGCCCUUUGCUUCGGAAUAACAGUUAGAAAUGACUGCUAAUACCGGAUGAUGUCUUCGGACCAAAGAUUUAUCGGCAAAGGAUGAGCCCGCGUAGGAUUAGGUAGUUGGUGGGGUAAAGGCCUACCAAGCCGACGAUCCUUAGCUGGUCUGAGAGGAUGAUCAGCCACACUGGGACUGAGACACGGCCCAGACUCCUACGGGAGGCAGCAGUGGGAAUAUUGGACAAUGGGCGAAAGCCUGAUCCAGCAAUGCCGCGUGAGUGAAAAAAAA